CCUACGGGUGGCAGCAGUGGGGGAUAUUGCACAAUGGGGGGAACCCUGAUGCAGCGACGCCGCGUGGGUGAAGAAGCGCCUCGGCGCGUAAAGCCCUGUCAGCAGGGAAGAAAAUGACGGUACCUGAAGAAGAAGCCCCGGCUAACUACGUGCCAGCAGCCGCGGUAAUACGUAGGGGGCAAGCGUUAUCCGGAUUUACUGGGUGUAAAGGGGGCGCAGACGGCGAUGCAAGCCAGGAGUGAAAGCCCGGGGCCCAACCCCGGGACUGCUCUUGGAACUGCGUGGCUGGAGUGCAGGAGGGGCAGGCGGAAUUCCUGGUGUAGCGGUGAAAUGCGUAGAUAUUGCGCAGAACUCCGAUUGCGAAGGCAGCAUACCGGCGGCGAUCUGACGCUGAGGCACGAAAGCGUGGGUAUCGAACAGGAUUAGAUACCCGAGUAGUC
rnacentral:rRNA from 1 species